UACAGGGGGGGCAAGCGUUGUUCGGAAUUACUGGGCGUAAAGAGCUCGUAGGUGGUUUGUCGCGUUGUCCGUGAAAACUCACAACUCAAUUGUGGGCGUGCGGGCGAUACGGGCAGACUGGAGUACUGCAGGGGAGACUGGAAUUCCUGGUGUAGCGGUGAAAUGCGCAGAUAUCAGGAAGAACACCAAUGGCGAAGGCAGCUCUCUGGGACGGUACUGACGCUGAGACGCGAAAGCGUGGGGAGCGAACAGG
rnacentral:rRNA from 1 species